GUGUGCCUAAUACAUGCAAGUCGAACGCGUUGGCCCAAUUGAUUGACGGUGCUUGCACCUGAUUGAUUUUGGUCGCCAACGAGUGGCGGACGGGUGAGUAACACGUAGGUAACCUGCCCAGAAGCGGGGGACAACAUUUGGAAACAGAUGCUAAUACCGCAUAACAACGUUGUUCGCAUGAACAACGCUUAAAAGAUGGCUUCUCGCUAUCGCUUCUGGAUGGACCUGCGGUGCAUUAGCUUGUUGGUGGGGUAAUGGCCUACCAAGGCGAUGAUGCAUAGCCGAGUUGAGAGACUGAUCGGCCACAAUGGGACUGAGACACGGCCCAUACUCCUACGGGAGGCAGCAGUAGGGAAUCUUCCACAAUGGGCGCAAGCCUGAUGGAGCAACACCGCGUGAGUGAAGAAGGGUUUCGGCUCGUAAAGCUCUGUUGUUAAAGAAGAACACGUAUGAGAGUAACUGUUCAUACGUUGACGGUAUUUAACCAGAAAGUCACGGCUAACUACGUGCCAGCAGCCGCGGUAAUACGUAGGUGGCAAGCGUUAUCCGGAUUUAUUGGGCGUAAAGAGAGUGCAGGCGGUUUUCUAAGUCUGAUGUGAAAGCCUUCGGCUUAACCGGAGAAGUGCAUCGGAAACUGGAUAACUUGAGUGCAGAAGAGGGUAGUGGAACUCCAUGUGUAGCGGUGGAAUGCGUAGAUAUAUGGAAGAACACCAGUGGCGAAGGCGGCUACCUGGUCUGCAACUGACGCUGAGACUCGAAAGCAUGGGUAGCGAACAGGAUUAGAUACCCUGGUAGUCCAUGCCGUAAACGAUGAGUGCUAGGUGUUGGAGGGUUUCCGCCCUUCAGUGCCGGAGCUAACGCAUUAAGCACUCCGCCUGGGGAGUACGACCGCAAGGUUGAAAC
rnacentral:rRNA from 1 species